rnacentral:lncRNA from 1 species
GAAAAAUAUACCCUCCAAUUGCUAUUUAUGAUAUGAUUACACAGGUCAAGUUUAAUUUCAGCAUUGUGGAUGAAUAUGUUACCCAAUCAUUGUAAUGAUGCACUCUCAAACCAGCAGUGGGGCUGAGGAUGGAAAGAAAACCUUGUUUAUAACUUGUCUGCUGAUGAUUGGAGUUUGUUAUGAAAGCGUUCUGAUGCAAUCAUCAGUGACACAAAGGUAAGGAAUGUUCGUACCCUUCUGCUAUCACCGUAACAGUAGCUGUGUGACAGGUGAGAGGUAUGGCAGAGAAGGGGCAGUAUUGCAGGAGGGAUCACUUUUCCUCAGGGCUAAAGCAAGAGCAUACUUAAUCAUACUAGUACUUUUCAGUAGUCACAUGUGCUUCAGAAGCUCCUGUGUUCAGUGGAAAGGAGCCUCCUCAAGAACGUACAACGGUCUGAGCACCGCCCUGCAGCAGCCCCCGAACCAGCAAGAUGGGCUUCUUGCAAAAGGAGGCGGCACCGCUGGAUCAAGACUGCUGAGGAUGCAGAAUUGUAGUCCCUGGAGAAAGGAACGGCUGUCUUCCACCCAUAUAACUCAAAAAGUGGAAACUUCUCAGUUGUUUUGAAUGCUUUCCUUUCCAACUGCUCAUCACAUCGGCUUAAGAUCACGUAAUUCAAAAACUGCAGAUCAUUUCCAGUGCUCGAACUUCCACGCACAAUUUUAAUGCGCAGCCUGGUAAAAUCAAGCAUGAGCAGGAAGCAAAUCACAGAAGAAACAUUUUCAUGCCUUAAAAUUACACUGGGAAGAGGGGAAAAAACAAACUUAAAACAUGCAAACAGCAAACUUGUCCAUUCACCGCAGCUGUGUUCCAGCCAGUAGUUCCCACAGCUUCAAGACCAAUAUAUUAAGCUGACAGAGAAAAUGGCUGCCGUCUUCUGAGGCCAAGUUACAGCCAUCCUUGUGGUUUGAAAGUCUGAAGUGCAGUGCUCAGAUAAAGCAGGCAACUCUACUCCAGCCUGGUAGAGACAUUAAAACACACGAGAACUUCAGUAGGUGAGCUCCUCACUUUCUCUCCUUUUUUGUUAUAUUUUUCCUCUGGUGGGUUGAGUUAUCCAGUUGGAGCUCCCAGAAUAGAUGAAAUCCAGGCAGAAGAGCAUACCCAGUUCUAUCAGUCACCUGCUGUGAGUCUCCAUCAGUGAAGCUUUGCCUUUGGACUGAGAUGUAAAAUUUAUUGGGGUUUUGCACUUCUUCCCCCCACUCUUGGCCUUGUUUGUACUUUUGGAAUAAAUAUGGAAUAUAGUCUGUCCCUUUAAUGCAAGAGACAAUGAGAAGGGCAAAACUGUUCCCAAGAAGUCAGUAAAAGUGGUAAUACCUAUUAAUGAUUGCAGCAGAGUGCUUUUCAGUUGCCCUAUUAAAGGAGCUCUUUGUCCUAAUAAAUACCAAUGAAAAAGCUUGCUCUCAGAGCACCUACCCUGUACUUUAUUUAUAAUGAGUCUUCUAAUGAGUACAUAGUGUUUAUGCCUCCUU